UACGUAGGGGGGCAAGCGUUGUCCGGAUUUAUUGGGCGUAAAGAGCGUGUAGGCGGUUAUGCAGGUCCGCUGUGAAAACUGGAGGCUUAACCUCCAGACGUCGGUGGAAACCGUAUGACUAGAGUCCGGAAGAGGAGAGUGGAAUUCCUGGUGUAGCGGUGAAAUGCGCAGAUAUCAGGAAGAACACCCGUGGCGAAGGCGGCUCUCUGGGACGGUACUGACGCUGAGACGCGAAAGCGUGGGGAGCGAACAGG
rnacentral:rRNA from 1 species